rnacentral:rRNA from 1 species
GUACACUCCUGCGGGAGGCAGCAGUGGGGAAUAUUGGACAAUGGGCGCAAGCCUGAUCCAGCCAUGCCGCGUGAGUGAUGAAGGCCCUAGGGUUGUAAAGCUCUUUCACCGGUGAAGAUAAUGACGGUAACCGGAGAAGAAGCCCCGGCUAACUUCGUGCCAGCAGCCGCGGUAAUACGAAGGGGGCUAGCGUUGUUCGGAUUUACUGGGCGUAAAGCGCACGUAGGCGGACUAUUAAGUCAGGGGUGAAAUCCCGGGGCUCAACCCCGGAACUGCCUUUGAUACUGGUAGUCUUGAGUUCGAGAGAGGUGAGUGGAAUUCCGAGUGUAGAGGUGAAAUUCGUAGAUAUUCGGAGGAACACCAGUGGCGAAGGCGGCUCACUGGCUCGAUACUGACUCUGAGGUGCGAAAGCGUGGGGAGCAAACAGGAUUAGAAACCCUAGUAGUCCCAUGAU